UGAACAUUUGGCUCAGUGUUUUAAAGGUCAAUCCAAGGGGAAACAUUUCUGGACAAUAUGAAAAUACUGAUCCGACACUGUUGCAAACCGAGGAUGAUGAAGCUGUUUUGCAGACUACAAUUGAAGAUCUUGUAAUAGACUAUCCGGUAGCAGACGUAACCCCAAUCAUCCUCGAUUACGAUAUUGGAGAUGCUGAACCAGAAGAUGAAUUCCGACGUAAUUUAUCGUCCUCGGAUGAAGAUGAAAUAGAAGACGAAGAUGAAUAAUAAUUGUG
rnacentral:sRNA from 1 species